GUUCAAUCAGCAGUCAUGAGAUCUUUGGUGUUCCUGGUGCUCCUUGGAGCCGCCUUUGCUCUGGAUGAUGACAAGAUUGUUGGUGGAUAUGAAUGCGAGCCCUAAUCCCAGGCCUGGCAGGCAUCUCUGAACAUUGGCUACCACUUCUGCGGUGGCUCUCUGGUCAGCGAGUACUGGGUUGUGUCUGCUGCUCACUGCUACAAGUCACGCAUUGAGGUCCGUUUGGGCGAGCACAACAUCGCACUUAAUGAGGGAACUGAGCAGUUCAUCUCCUCUGAGAAGGUCAUCCGCCACCCCAACUAUGACUCCUGGACCAUUGACAGUGACAUCAUGCUGAUCAAGCUUAGCAAGCCCGCUACCCUCAAUCAGUACGUGCAGACUGUGGCCCUGCCCACUGGCUGUGCCGCCGAUGGCACCAUGUGCAGAGUUACUGGCUGGGGAAACACCAUGAGCUCCACUGCUGAUUCCAACAAGCUUCAGUGUCUGGAGAUCCCCAUCCUGUCCGACCGCGACUGCAAGAACUCCUACCCUGGUAUGAUCACCGAUACCAUGUUCUGCGCUGGAUACCUGGAGGGAGGAAAGGACUCUUGCCAGGGUGACUCUGGUGGCCCUGUGGUGUGUAACGGUCAGCUGCACGGUAUUGUGUCCUGGGGUUAUGGCUGUGCUGAGAAGAAUCAUCCUGGUGUCUAUGGCAAGGUCUGCAUGUUCAGCCAAUGGAUCGCCGACACCAUGAGCAGCAACUGGAUUACCAGCUUUCUGACAGACAGGCAGAAGCUCGUAAAGCUGGGAAAAUUCUCAUCCAGUAAACGCACCAUCAGCACUGGCGUCCCUCAGGGAUUUCUCCUCUCUCCUCUGCUCUUCUCCCCAGACACGAACGACUGCACUUCAAAGGACCCCUCUACAGGUCAUUUGGGGCUAACUGGUCAUUGGCGGCCAACUGACAGUCCCAUAAAUACAGGUAAGAGAGAGCCCUUCAUCAAACAGGUUAAAUCUGCAAUCAUGAGGUCUUUGGUGUUCCUGGUGCUCCUUGGAGCUGCCUUUGCUCUGGAUGAUGACAAGAUUGUUGGUGGAUAUGAAUGCGAGCCCUAUUCCCAGCCCUGGCAGGUGUCUCUGAACUCUGGCUACCACUUCUGCGGUGGCUCUCUGGUCAACGAGUACUGGGUUGUGUCUGCUGGUCACUGCUACAUGUCACGCCUUGAGGUCCGUUUGGGCGAGCACAACAUCGCACUUAAUGAGGGAACUGAGCAGUUCAUCUCCUCUGAGAAGGUCAUCUCCCACCCCAGUUAUGACUACUGGACCCUUGACAGUGACAUCAUGCUGAUCAAGCUUAGCAAGCCCGCUACCCUCAAUCAGUACGUGCAGCCUGUGGCCCUGCCCAGUGGCUGUGCCGCCGAUGGCACCAUGUGCAGAGUUACUGGCUGGGGAAACACCAUGAGCUCCACUGCUGAUUCCAACAAGCUUCAGUGUCUGGAGAUCCCCAUCCUGUCCGACAGCGACUGCAAGAACUCCUACCCUGGUAUGAUCACCGAUACCAUGUUCUGCGCUGGAUACCUGGAGGGAGGAAAGGACUCUUGCCAGGGUGACUCUGGUGGCCCUGUGGUGUGUAACGGUCAGCUGCACGGUAUUGUGUCCUGGGGUUAUGGCUGUGCUGAGAAGAAUCAUCCUGGUGUCUAUGGCAAGGUCUGCAUGUUCAGCCAAUGGAUCGCCGACACCAUGAGUAGAAACUAAAGCUGAUUCAACAUCACAAACACCCUUUAAAUCUGCAAUCCAUCAGUUUUUAUUUUUGUAGAUUAAAAACCUGCAUGAAAAUAAAAGCAUUUUAAAUACUC